rnacentral:rRNA from 1 species
UACAGAGGGUGCUAACGUUGUUCGGAAUCACUGGGCUUAAGGCGCACGUAGGCGGCUAGGCAAGUGCGAUGUGAAAGCCCCCGGCCCAACCGGGGAACUGCAUCGUAGACUGCCUGGCUUGAGAGCGGUAGGGGAGACUAGAACUCCUGGUGGAGCGGUGAAAUGCGUAGAUAUCAGGAGGAAUACCGGUGGCGAAGGCGAGUCUCUGGUCCGCUUCUGACGCUCAUGUGCGAAAGCUAGGGGAGCAAACGGG